rnacentral:rRNA from 1 species
CCUACGGGAGGCAGCAGUGGGGAAUAUUGGGCAAUGGGCGCAAGCCUGACCCAGCAACGCCGCGUGAAGGAAGAAGGCUGUCGGGUUGUAAACUUCUUUUCUCAGGGACGAAGCAAGUGACGGUACCGGAGGAAUAAGCCACGGCUAAAUACGUGCCAGCAGCCGCGGUAAUACGUAGGUGGCAAGCGUUAUCCGCAUUUACUGGGUGUAAAGGGCGUGUAGGCGGGGACGCAAGUCAGAUGUGAAAACCACGGGCUCAACCUGUGGCCUGCAUUUGAAACUGUGUUUCUUGAGUACUGGAGAGGCAGGCGGCUUUCCUAGUGUAGCGGUGACAUGCGUAGAUAUUAGGAGGACCACCAGUGGCGACGGCGGUCUGCUGGACAGCAACUGACGCUGAGGCGCGAACGCGUGGGGAGCAAACAGGAUUAGAUACCCUUGUAGUC